rnacentral:rRNA from 1 species
CCUGCCCAUUGAAUUUUAAAAGGCCGCGGUAUUUUGACUGUGCAAAGGUAGCAUAAUAAUUAGUUUUUUAAUUGAAAGCUUGUAUGAAUGGUUGGACAAAGAAAAAACUGUCUUUAAUAUUUUUAUUGAACUUUACUUUUAAGUGAAAAGGCUUAAAUUAAUUUAAGGGACGAUAAGACCCUAUAAAUCUUUACAUUUAUUUGUCUUUUUUAUUUAGAUAAUAAUUAAUUAAAAUACAUAAAAAAAUGUUUCAUUGGGGUGAUGAAGAUAUAAUAAUUUAACUGUCUUUAUUUAUAAACAAAUAUAAUUGAUUUUUAAUCAAGGAUCCUUUAUAAAGAUUAAAAGUUUAAGUUACUUUAGGGAUAACAGCGUAAUUUUUUUUGAGAGUUCAUAUCGAAAAGAGAGUUUGCGACCUCGAUGUUGAAUUAAAAUAUCCUUAUGUUGUAGAAGUUGUAAGGGAAAGUCUGUUCGAC